rnacentral:rRNA from 1 species
AUUGAACGCUGGCGGCAGGCCUAACACAUGCAAGUCGAGCGGUUGAGGUAGCUUGCUACCGAAGCAGCGGCGAACGGGUGAGUAAUGCAUGGGAAUCUGCCUGGUAGUGGGGGACAACGUUUCGAAAGGAGCGCUAAUACCGCAUACGCCUUACGGGGGAAAGGGGGGGAUCUUCGGACCUCUCGCUAUCAGAUGAGCCCAUGUCAGAUUAGCUUGUUGGUGAGGUAAAGGCUCACCAAGGCGACGAUCUGUAACUGGUCUGAGAGGAUGAUCAGUCACACUGGAACUGAGACACGGUCCAGACUCCUACGGGAGGCAGCAGUGGGGAAUAUUGGACAAUGGGGGCAACCCUGAUCCAGCCAUGCCGCGUGUGUGAAGAAGGCCUUCGGGUUGUAAAGCACUUUCAGUGGGGAGAAAGGUCAUUCACCUAAUACGUGAGUGAAUUGAUGUUACCCACAGAAGAAGCACCGGCUAACUCCGUGCCAGCCGCCGCAGUAA